rnacentral:rRNA from 1 species
GUGCCAGCCGCCGCGGUAAUACGUAGGGUGCGAGCGUUGUCCGGAAUCAUUGGGCGUAAAGGGCUCGUAGGCGGUCCAUCGCGUCGGGAGUGAAACGCUGGGGCUUAACCCCAGUCCUGCUUUCGAUACGGGUGGACUAGAGGUAGGCAGGGGAGAAUGGAAUUCCUGGUGUAGCGGUGAAAUGCGCAGAUAUCAGGAGGAACACCGGUGGCGAAGGCGGUUCUCUGGGCCUUACCUGACGCUGAGGAGCGAAAGCGUGGGGAGCAAACAGGAUUAGAAACCCCAGUAGUCC